rnacentral:rRNA from 1 species
GAGCACGUAGGUGGGUUUGUAAGUCAGAUGUGAAAGCCUUCUGUUCAACGGAAGAAUUGCAUCUGAAACUACGAAUCUUGAGUGUAGGAGGGGAGAAUGGAACUUCUGGUGGAGCGGUGAAAUGCGUAGAUAUCAGAAGGAACGCCGGCGGCAAAAGCGAUUCUCUGGCCUAUUACUGACACUCAGUGUGCGAAAGCUAGGGGAGCAACCGGGAUUAGAUACCCCGGUAGUCCUAGCCGUAAACGAUGGGCACUAAGUAGAGGGU